AAAUAAGCUGGGAGAGAGGGCUAUUUUAAGAUGCUGCCUUUCACUGCAACCAUAGUGGGGGACAAUGAGGCAAGCCGGGACAUUGUAAUGACAGUCACGUUUUCAGACAUGUUCUCGCUCUGCGUGCUCCGCCACAGAAAGAAAGGCCUUGAGGACGAGACAGUUUUGUACAACAGAACAUGAAGGAUUAAAGGUUGGAAAAGUUGGUCUGAGCAAAUACUGUAUAUGGACGUGAAGAAGCAGAAAUAAUUGAAAUUAUUUUACUGAAUCUGUAAAAGAUCUGCCAGAGGAUUCUUACGGUGGGCUAAGAAAACCAACAAGAGGGAAACAGUCGAGCCGUAAAUCAAUUUAAACGAAUGCGCUCAUUGAAUUAUUUGUGAAAUUAAUCAGAUCAAAUUGUGAAACCACUUUGGGAAUCACGAGUCUCGGCUAAAACACUCGGCUGUGACUAAGUCUCUUCAGAGACAAAUCUGGAAACGACUGGAACAUUAUUAACGUUAACUCCGAGAGCAGUUUUAACGACAGUUUUUUUCUCUUCUCACAGAGGAAGACUUUGUUUAAUUUCCUGAAAUAGAUUUUUUUAUUGAUUUAUAUUCUGUGACAUAAAAAUAAAUCAACAUUUAUACAUAUAUUAUAUAUAUAUUUCAGUCAUUUCCACCAGUACUCUCUAUAGUAUAUGUUCUGGUCUAUUCGCAAACGUAAAUAUCACAAAAAUGACAACAUGAACAAAAAGUCGCUGCAGUUUCACUGCGUGACUUUUCACGUCACAAACAAAACGUUGCACAAACAUCAGCUGGAGAUUGACGUCUGGUCUCUCUUACAUUCAGAUUCAGGUCUUUGUCGACUGACAAGAACCGUGGACUGCAGUAAGGCAGCCGGUACUAACACCUGGUACUUUUUACAUUAAUGACUUACGCAGUCGGUACCAGCCAACAGUCCCAGUCAACUAUUGUCGACGUUUAUAUUUGUGACAUGAUUCACAGCCUUUAGGUAUUUGUUAUGAAUAUUACUACAGUGUUUGAUCAGAAACGUUAAAAAUUCAAUUCACUUCAAAUUGGCAACGUUUCUAAAAUGCAAUAAAAAAAAAUUAACAAAUGUCAUUUUAUAAUAGAUGAUAUGUUCUGGUAUUUAUCAGAUGAAAGAAAGGGAAAAAAUGACAUUUGUACUUUUACUGACUUGCUCUACGAGUCAAACAGUCCUCAGACAGAUGCUUAGCGUCCCUACUAAUCAUGACUAAUCAUGAUUAAUUAGCCUGUGAUUAAUUAGGUGUAAAAUGUUAAUGUUUUGACUGUACUGGUUUGUUGUUAAAACUUUUUAAUGUUUUAUUUAGAUUUUGUAAUGAGGGAUUUUAAACAGUUCUCUUAACUACUGAGUGCAUGUUAAUGAUGUCAUCAUGAAGUCUAUUUAACAUCAAAUCAAAUCUAAUGUCACUGUUAAAUGCGUGGAUUAGGCUUCACAUCAAUGCAGUUCUAUGACAGGACACAUGGCAGCUACUGUUUCUGUUCUGUCAUCGUGUGGUCUGGAGGUUACAUCAAUAUCUUCUUCUUCCAGUCUGUACUUGUGCCGUCAGUGAUUUUUCUGUUUCACCACAGAUUCAAUCUGAACAGCGAUCAAAUCAAAACGUUUUUUUCCUCUGUUAUUGUUCAAAAAAAGAGAUUGCUGUUUGAUGUACUGAGCAAAAAAAAAA